CCGCCAGAGAACUACAAGUGAAAAACUUAAAACUCAAAGGACUUGACGGUGUCCCAUAUCGACCUAGAGGAGCCUGUCCUAUAAUCGAUACUCCACGUUCUACCUAACCCUAACUAGCACAAUAACAGCCUAUAUACCGCCGUCGACAGCCUACCCUAUGAAGGUCUAACAGUAGACACAAUAGCCCAACCGCUAGCACGUCAGGUCAAGGUGUAGCAAAUGCUAGGGAAGAGAUUGGCUACAUUUUUUAUAAUAAAAAACACGAAAAGUACUAUGAAACUGUACAUGAAGGUGAAUUUAGUAGUAAAAUAGAUAAGAGUGUCUAUUUUAACAACGCUCUGGGACGCGUACACACCG
rnacentral:rRNA from 1 species